GAGAAAUAUCCCGAGCCUGUCCAUCUUCCAUCCUCUGCCGGAGUCAACUUCAGGUCUUGGGAAGGAAUAUGACUCUGCAGCAUAACACAUGUGCGAAAAGAGACGGCUCGGCACAUGGCAUUGAACCUGAAUACAACAAAGCAGACCUCAUGGUACCACUUCUGAAUGCCCGCUGCCCAGCAGGACAGACGGCACCUUUGCUGAAUAAAAUCUGGGUAACGAGAAACUUCGAUGUGGACACAGAGCUCCAGAAAGGGCAGAACUCCAAGGCCCUGAAUGGUGGCACUACUGUCCCCCAAUAGCUUUGCUAUUAGAUGCUAUUUGUCUUGCCCCUUGUUCCGUGUU